rnacentral:rRNA from 1 species
GGUCAAGUUAUUAAGGGCUUACGGUGGAUGCCUUGGCACCAAAAGCCGAUGAAGGGCGCGGUAAGGCUGCGUUAAGCCUCGAUGAGCCGUCUAACGGGCAUAGUCGGGGAUACCCGAAUGGGGAAACCCUAUCCGGUGUUGAGUCGGAUAAUCCUCUCUUUCGAGAGAGGAGGGCAAGUGGGGGAACUGAAACAUCUAAGUACCCCGAGGAAAGUAAAUCAACCGAGAUUCCCUUAGUAGUGGCGAACGAACGGGGAUCAGCCUAAACCAGUAUGACUUAGUGGUAUAAGGGCCUAUGUCGUAUUGGGGUUGCAGGGAUUGCCUAGAGCCCCCUUAUGAGGCUCGAAGGAGUUACAAAUCUUAUCUCUAGUCGAAGGAUCCUGGGAAGGACCGCCACAGAGGGUGACAGCCCCGUAGGCGAAAGGGAUGAGACUCCUGGCGUAUUACCUAAGUACCACGGGGCACGGGAAACCUUGUGGGAAUCUGGGGGGACCACCCUCCAAGGCUAAAUACUUUUGGUGACCGAUAGCGUACCAGUACCGUGAGGGAAAGGUGAAAAGAACCCCUAGCGGGGAGUGAAAUAGAUCUGAAACCGUAAGCCUACAGAAGGUCGUAGUCCUGACUUCGGUCGGGAUGGCGGCGUGCCUAUUGAAGAAUGAUCCGGGGACUUAAUGUAUGGAGCAAGGUUAAGGAACUGUAGUUCCGGAGCCGUAGCGAAAGCGAGUCUGAAUAGGGCGCCAAGUUCCAUGUAUUAGACUCGAAACCGGGUGAGCUACCCAUGGCCAGGUUGAAGGUCCGGUAACACGGACUGGAGGACCGAACUCGUGGCUAGUACAAAAGCUUGGGAUGAGCUGUGGGUAGAGGUGAAAUGCCAAUCGAACUCGGAAAUAGCUAGUUCUCCUCGAAAUGCAUUUAGGUGCAGCCUCGAUCUAUAGGUGGACGGAGGUAGGGCACUGAAUGGGCUAGGGGGCGUGAGCUUACCAAACCCAAUCAAACCACCAAUGCCGUUUAUCCGUUAAUCGGGAGUGAGACCGGCACAGAUAAGUGCGUCGGUCGAAAGGGAAACAGCCCAGACCACCGGCUAAGGCCCCUAAGAAUUGACUAAGUGGGAAAGGAAGUUAGGUUCCAAAAACAACCAGGAGGUUGGCUUAGAAGCAGCCAUCCUUUAAAGAGUGCGUAAUAGCUCACUGGUCGAGGGAUCUGGCGCCGAAAAUGUAACGGGGCUUAAGUCAAUCGCCGAAGCCGUGGAUGUAUAAGUACAAGGAUGAAAUCUUCGUAACUCAAGGCGGACCCAAUGGUGGAAGUCUUUCCCUUCGGGGUUUGAUGGAAGCCUGCGGUGAAACCGGCGGAAACGAAGCCGGACUUUUUGGUUAUUGCUUAUGCGUGGUAGAGGAGCGUUCCUCGGGCGGUGAAGGUUAAUCGUGAGGUUAGCUGGAGCGCGGGGAAGUGAGAAUCCCGGAAUGAGUAGCGUAAACUAGGGUGAAAAUCCCUGGCGCCGAAAGCCCAAGGUUUCCUACGCAAUGCUUGUCAGCGUAGGGUUAGUCGGUCCUAAGCCGUAGGCAAGAGCCGAAGGCGAUGGACAGCAGGUUAAUAUUCCUGCACUGCCGUAUUUUCGCUUAAAACCAAGGAGGGAUGCAGGAGGGUAGGUGGAGCAUGCCUAUUGGACAUGGUGUGUCCUCUUUCGUAGGCGAGUCGGGGCAGGUAAAUCCACUCCGACGUUAAGCUGAGGAUUGAGGGAACUGAAGCCUUCGGGCUUACGGAACUCUGCUGACCCCAUACUGACGAGAAAAGCUUCGUGGUUAUGGGAAUAUGGCAACCGUACCGCAAACCGCCACUGGUGGGCUAGGAUAAAAGUCCUAAGGCGUUCGAGCGAACCUUCGUUAAGGAACUAGACAAAAGAGCCCUGUAACUUUGGGAGAAAGGGCCCCCCGGGAGGUGCAACCACUUGCUGGUGAAGCGUUUUGGGGGCGCAGAUAAGAAGGCCGGGCGACUGUUUAACAAAAACACAGGUCUGUGCUAAGGGGAAACCCUACGUAUACAGGCUGACGCCUGCCCAGUGCCGGAAGGUUAAGGGGAAGAGUGAGAGCUUUGAACUGAAGCCCCGGUGAACGGCGGCCGUAACUCUAACGGUCUACCAAGUACCAACAAGGAUCAGAGGACUUGUUCUCUGGAUCAGCGUUGGUCGACUUAAGGCCGUUGUAAAAUUUGGCUAUAUGCUGGAAACUCCGAGUAUCCGGCGCUACCGGCUGGUUUAAUCUGAAUCAGAAGGUGACAAUGCGUCCGGUGCGGACAAUCAGCAGGAAAGACCUUGGAGAAGAAACUCCGGUCCGUCCAAGGAUCGAAGUGGACCUCCUCGGAAUCCUCAGAGACUAUACGCCAGACCCUUGUCGGAACCAGUGGGAAGAUAUAGUCCGAUCUAUGUGGCGACAUAUAGAGGUCGGCAGAAAUGACCGGCCCCGUCAACUUAACUUGAGCGUUUCGGCGCUUAGACUUAGUUUGAUGAGUAACAAAUUGCCUAAGGUAGCGAAGUCCCUUGUCGGGUAAGUUCCGACCCGCAUGAAUGGUUGAACGACUUGGCCAUUGUCUCG